AGUUAUCACCCGUCGAUAUCGACAGAGGGGUGAUUUAAAACUAGUUAAAUUAUUCACUUGGGUUACGUUAGCUCUUCACCCAAAUGAAUAAGGGGGGCAUUGUUUACACCAUAUUUCACCGCCUGUCGAUGAUCGACCGAAAGGACACUUGGCUUGCUCCUACACAUGUGGAAGUUAAAAGGACACUUGUCAUGCUCCUACACAUUUGAAGGGAAGUGGGAAGUUAUUUUGACAAGUGGAAGCAAAAGAUUGAAUGAAGACUAGUGGAGAAGUUAGGAAGUUAUUUCCUACGUUUGUUGUUUUCUAUAAAUAGUCUUUUAAGACUUCAUUGUAAUUCCUCUCCAACAAAUCAAAGUCUAUCUUUAUUUGUCUUAA